AUUGAACGCUGGCGGCAGGCCUAACACAUGCAAGUCGAGCGGGGACUUCGGUCCUAGCGGCGAACGGGUGAGUAAUGCUUGGGAAUCUGCCCAGUAGUGGGGGAUAACGUCCCGAAAGGGACGCUAAUACCGCAUACGUCCUACGGGAGAAAGAGGGGGAUCUUCGGACCUCUCGCUAUUGGAUGAGCCCAAGUCGGAUUAGCUAGUUGGUAGGGUAAUGGCCUACCAAGGCGACGAUCCGUAGCUGGUCUGAGAGGAUGAUCAGCCACACUGGAACUGAGACACGGUCCAGACUCCUACGGGAGGCAGCAGUGGGGAAUAUUGGACAAAGGGCGAAAGCCUGAUCCAGCCAUGCCGCGUGUGUGAAGAAGGCCUUCGGGUUGUAAAGCACUUUAAGCGGGGAGGAAGGUGCGCGGCCUAAUACGUCGCGGAAUUGACGUUACCCGCAGAAUAAGCACCGGCUAACUCUGUG
rnacentral:rRNA from 1 species